rnacentral:rRNA from 1 species
GAUUUCCCACCGCAAGGGUAAGACCCCAGAAAGACUAUCUGGUUGAUAGGGCGAAGGUGUAAGUGCAGCAAUGUAUUUAGCUUAUCGAUACUAAUAGGUCGAGGACUUGACCAA